rnacentral:rRNA from 1 species
UACGUAGGGUGCGAGCGUUAAUCGGAAUUACUGGGCGUAAAGCGUGCGCAGGCGGUUUUUCAAGUCUGAUGUGAAAGCCCCGGGCUUAACCUGGGAACUGCGUUGGAAACUGAAAGACUAGAGUGCGGCAGAGGGGGGUAGAAUUCCACGUGUAGCAGUGAAAUGCGUAGAGAUGUGGAGGAAUACCAAUGGCGAAGGCAGCCCCCUGGGAUAAUAUUGACGCUCAUGCACGAAAGCGUGGGGAGCAAACAGG